rnacentral:rRNA from 1 species
UACGAGAGGCCCAAACGUUAUUCGGAAUUACUGGGCUUAAAGAGUUCGUAGGCGGCGCAGAAAGUAGGGUGUGAAAGCCCUCGGCUCAACCGAGGAAUUGCGCUCUAAACUACUGUGCUUGAGGAACCUAGAGGUGAGCAGAACAGAUGGUGGAGCGGUGAAAUGCGUUGAUAUCAUCUGGAAUACCGGAGGCGAAGGCGGCUCACUGGGGGUUUUCUGACGCUGAGGGACGAAAGCCAGGGUAGCGAACGGG